GGGGUUCUGGCCGAGUGGUUAAGGCGCUGUGUUUAGGUUAAUAGCUGUCACCGCAGUGGGAAACCGCGCAGGUUCGAAUCCUGCGGACCUCA
rnacentral:tRNA from 2 species